GUUUGCUUUUUGCUCACUGCCAUAGAGUAAAUGCCCCAUAGCUCAAUCCUACAUCGACUCAACUAAGCUUUGGUGAAAUUUAUGGGUCUAUUUAGGGUGUGUCGGAGCACCUGUUGUUCCUAUGUUUCUGAACAAAUAGUGACCCAGAAAACGGUAUUGAAGGUCAGCAUUCACUCACAGUGCUGCAAAACUCGGGUGUUGAAGGCAGUUGGAAAAUUUACAGGGAUUGAGCAGGUAUCGGUGGAUGAUGUGAAGGGGAUGCUUACAGUGGUGGGGAAGGUCGAUGCAAUUAAAUUGACAAAGCAAGUGAGGAAGACAGGAAAGGUAGUAGAGAUCAUCAGUGUUGGUCCACCAAAGCCGGAUCCACCACCACCGAAACCACCAAAAAAGCCCGAGCCACCAAAGCCCCUUCCUCCCGUCUGCCAUUGUAAGGAAUGCCAGCUUGUCGCUGUCAGCUUCGUUCCCUAUUAUGGUCCUUCCUGUGCCAUUCUGUGACAGUUAAGUCAAGCCAUUGCUACCAAGUUUGCUUAUAUUCAGUGUGAAAUGUAUUGUGCAGUAAAUAAGAUCCUCCUUACAAAAGGAAAACUGUGCAAGUUAGGUAAGCUGCGUCCUAGUGGGAUGCAUAUUUAAGGUUUCUUUGGGUUGUUUGGCUUAAUCAUUUACCCCCAUAACUACUGUUCCAAAGAGAUUCCAUUAUGCAAGUGACAAAAAA